CCACAUGCGAACGGGUGCCUAGCGGCGGCGGCGGCGGCAACACGAUCGAGAUCAGCAGCGGUGGCCACAACGCGGACGCGACUGCGGCCGGAGCAGCAGCAGCCACAGCAGCCGCCACUGCAGUUAGAGCGGCGGCAGCAGGAAUAACAGCAGCAGCCGCCGCAGCGAGCGGCGCUCGGCGGGCGCGCCCUCCUCAAGGAAGCCGCCCGUCCCACAUCACCGCCCCCUCCGGCGUGUUCAUGCCCCCGGGAGACAAGAGGAACAGCAGCGACACCGCCCCUCACCCUGGAGGGUCUUGUACAAUCUCAUCAUGGGACUCCUGCCCUUACCCAGGGGCCCUGGAGCCCCAGAAAUGGAGCCCAAUUAGGUGCCUGCACCCGCCCGGUGGACGUUGGGGACUUGGAGGGCAGGACCCUCCCACCUCCUGAUGCCCUGGCCAGUGCGGGGGACUUUUUCUGCACCAUGUAGCAUACUGGACUACCAGCCCUGCCUGUCCCAGGGGCGGGCUGGGCAGCCACUCCAGCCCCGGCCCAGCCUGGGCGCAGUGAUGGAGAAGUGGACUCCUGGGCCCCUGGCACAGCCGCCAGGGGAAGGAGGGCUGAAGGACUCAGCCUCAGAAGGCGGCGGUGACUGAGGGGGUGGGGACUGAGCCACCUGCCUCUGCCACCCAUCACCAUCUCAGGAAAGGCUGCUGGUGCUGGCUGCCCGUUCCAGCUGCAGGGGGGACGCUGGGGGCCUCCCCAGUGCUCCUUCACUUUGGGCCUGGCCUCAGGCCCCUGGUGCUUCCCCCCCUCCUCUUGGGGAGGGGGCCCAUGAAGAGCAAAUGAGCCAAACGUGACCACUAGCCUCCUGGAGCCAGAGAAUGGGGUGUGUCUGAUGGCCUCCCCAGCCUAGCGCCCAGCCAUCUUCCCUGAGCCGGCCGGCGGGUGGCGGGCUCGCCUGCCUCACCUUCAUCUGGGGGUGGCCAGGAGGGGCCCAGACUGUGAAUCCUGUGCUCUGCCCAUGACCACCCCCCGUCCCCAUCAAUCCCAUUGCAUAGGUUUAGAGAGAGCACGUGUGACCACUGGCGUUCAUUUGGGGGGUGGGAGACUUUGGCAGAAGCCGCCCCAGCCUUAGUCCCCAGGGCCAAGCGCUGGGGGGAAGACGGGGAGUCAGGGAGGGGGGGAGUCUCAGAAGAGGGAGGAGUCUGGGAGUGGGGAGGGGUGGCCCAGCCUGUAAAAUACUGUAUAUGCGCUGCUGUAGAUACCGGAAUGAAUUUUCUGUAAAUGUUUGGUUAAUUUUUUUUGUACAUGAUUUUUGUAUGUUUCCUUUUCAAUAAAAUCAGAUUGGAAC
rnacentral:lncRNA from 1 species